rnacentral:rRNA from 1 species
UACCAGCUCUCCGAGUGGUGUGGAUGUUUAUUUGGCCUAAAGCAUCCGUAGCUGGCUGGGCAAGUCCCCUGUUAAAUCCACCGAUUUAAUCGUUGGAAUGCGGGGGAUACUGUUCGGCUAGGGGACGGGAGAGGCAGACGGUAUUUUCGGGGUAGGGGUGAAAUCCUAUAAUCCCGGGAAGACCACCAGUGGCGAAGGCUGUCUGCUAGAACGCGCCCGACGGUGAGGGAUGAAAGCUGGGGGAGCGAACCGGAUUAGAUACCCGGGUAGUCCCGGCUGUAAACGAUGCAGGCUAGGUGUUUGGGCGGCUACGUGCCGCUCUAGUGCCGCAGGGAAGCCGUUAAGCCUGCCGCCUGGGGAGUACGGCCGCAAGGCUGAAACUUAAAGGAAUUGGCGGGGGAGCACCACAAGGGGUGAAGCUUGCGGUUU